AGAAGAUGUCAGUAGUUUCCAUCCUCGGUCGGUCAGCGCUCGUUUGUUGGGAGAUUUGAGCCUGUCACUGUAAGACAAUCACAAUCACACCUUCAGUGAAGCUCCUCCCACAACAAACACACCUUCAAUGAAGCUCCUCCCACAACAAUCACACGUUCAGUAAAGCUCCUCCCA